CGUAUGUACAUUUUCUGAUUUUUAGCGCUGUUCACCUUUCUAUUUUAUCUAUGAUUCCCCAGUGUCUCUUGUUCGUAUGCUUCAAUGUACCGAGCUUUCGUAUAAAGGAAAGACGAAUUACUGGAAGUCCCAGCGGUGUUUGUGCGGUCGAGUGCCUGAAAACAGUUCCAUACACUAGACGACAAAACAUCGCUGGCCUUUCAACAGUUUACGGGCAGGGCAACAGCUAGAAUCUGCUCCUGCGGCAUCGGUUGGUUGCUGGAGAUGAAGGGCGCAAUUCUCCCCUCUCAGGGAUACACAGAGCCAUUGGGGAGGGAAACAGAGGGCACAAUAUCUCAGAUACUCGCAUUACUGAAGGGGCAAAAUCAGGGUGACUUGGGGGUUGGGGAUUCGGGCCGACU